ACUUUCAACAACGGAUCUCUUGGUUCUGGCAUCGAUGAAGAACGCAGCGAAAUGCGAUACGUAAUGUGAAUUGCAGACUUCAGUGAAUCAUCGAAUCUUUGAACGCACAUUGCGCCCGCCAGUAUUCUGGCGGGCAUGCCUGUUCGAGCGUCAUUUCA
rnacentral:rRNA from 3 species